rnacentral:tRNA from 1 species
UGCGGCUUAGUAUAUGAUGUACACGAGUUUUUGAUACUUGAGGGGGUAGUUUAAUUCUACUAGGCGCAA